CAGCCUGUGCAAAGGCAUGGGGGCACCUCUUUCCUUAGACAUGCAGAGCUACAAUCUACAAGAUCUGACCCUGGCCUGGAGGAGGUGGAGGCAAUAUCCGGAGAGAGAGCGAGAGAUUCCUAUAGAAUACAAGACAAGACUAUCACAAUGAGCUGAAAUAUUGUGUCUGUGAAAGUAAUGAGAAGCACAGUGGAGACAAGUUUCUGAAGGAUGGAAGAGGCUGGAGGCUGUCUGGUGGGAGAAGGUUCCCAGACACGUGAGAGACUCAGCAACAGGUAAGAAAAUAAGUUGGUAAAGAAGAGACAUAGUG